rnacentral:rRNA from 1 species
GACAAACAGGUCAAGUUAAAAUUGAUAUAGUAAAAAAGGAGGUUAUGAUUUUUUUUUUGGAAAAUAAUGUUUUUUAGGAAGGUGGAAUUUAUAUAAAAAAAAGUAAUUUAGGUUUUUCGUUUAUUUGAGGCCUCGAAAUUUUGUUAUGAGACCGGGAUUAGAUACCCCGUUAUUCAAAACGUAAACUUUGAUUUUUAUCUAUAAUUUACUUGAGUAUUACGAGUAUAGAAAGUUGUAUUACUGUAUUGCUUAAAACUCAAAAAACUUGGCGGUGCCUUAUAUCCUUCCAGGGGAACCUGUCCUGUAAUCGAUAGUCCGCGUUUUAACUUUCUUUCUUUUGAACGUAGUCAGUUUGUAUACCGUCGUCGUCGGGUUACCUUUAAGGGUUAUGAAGUUAUCAGCAGGAAAGGAUUAGCAAAUAAUUUAUAAUCUGUUUAGGAGUAUAUUAGGAGUUUAUGGUUCUAGACGUCAGAUCAAGGUGCAGCUUAUAAGAAAGUAGAGAUGGGUUACAAUAAUGAUUUAUUAAAUACGAAUUUUUGUUGUAAGUAGCAGAAUUGAAGGAGGACUUGGAAGUAAUUGGUUUAAAAAUAAGAGAGUUUAAAUGAAAAUAGGCUCUGGGGUGCGC